rnacentral:rRNA from 1 species
CGCACGGCAGCACGGGGGCACCCUGGUGGCGAGUGGCGAACGGGUGAGAAACAUCGGAACGUGUCCUAGAGUGGGGGAUAGCCCGGCGAAAGCCGGAUUAAUACCGCAUACGCUCGAGAGAGGAAAGCGGGGGAUCUGACCUCGCGCUCAAGGGGCGGCCGAUGGCGGAUUAGCUAGUUGGUAGGGUAAAGGCCUACCAAGGCGACGAUCCGUAGCUGGUCUGAGAGGACGACCAGCCACACUGGGACUGAGACACGGCCCAGACUCCUACGGGAGGCAGCAGUGGGGAAUUUUGGACAAUGGGGGCAACCCUGAUCCAGCAAUGCCGCGUGUGUGAAGAAGGCCUUCGGGUUGUAAAGCACUUUUGUCCGGAAAGAAAUCCUCUGCCCUAAUACGGCGGGGGUAUGACGGUACCGGAAGAAUAAGCACCGGCUAACUACGUGCCAGCAGCCGCGAUAAUACGUAUGGUGCAAGCGUUGAUCGGAAUUACUG